UACAGAGGGUGCGAGCGUUAAUCGGAUUUACUGGGCGUAAGCGUGCGUAGGCGGCUUUUUAAGUCGGAUGUGAAAUCCCCGAGCUUAACUUGGGAAUUGCAUUCGAUACUGGGAAGCUAGAGUAUGGGAGAGGGAGGUAGAAUUCCACGUGUAGCAGUGAAAUGCGUAGAGAUGUGGAGGAAUACCAAUGGCGAAGGCAGCCUCCUGGCCUAAUACUGACGCUGAGGUACGAAAGCAUGGGGAGCAAACAGG
rnacentral:misc_RNA from 1 species